GACUCAGAAGACUUUAAUUGCCCCAGCAGAUCACCUGUCAGGAGAGGACCCAAGACAUGCAACCCUAUUUCUUUGCUUGCUCAGUAGCUUCUGGCCUUCUCAACCAUGGUCUACCUUCAAGCUUCACCAGAAGUUAUGCUCCAGAUGUUACAUGCCAUGAUUUCCUGUGACCAAUCUCCAUUCUCAAAGAUGCACACAUGCACAGCAUACACUAGCAACCAACAGGUAAGGCCAUCCUCCAAUCACUACAGCUGGCCCAGGCACAUCUGGUUUGGCUGGCUGCUAACCUUGUCAGAUAUAAUUGCACUUUGUGCAUGUUUUUUUAUGGUGAGGGCUCUCUUGCUUUCUGUGUCAGGGGACCCUUUCCAUCCUUGCUACACCUCUGCUUGGAUGAGGCAUAUUCCCUUCCCCUUCUCAUGCAUUGAUCUCUUGGCAGGAAGGGGUAAUUUGUACCACCAGAAGUGGUUGGGUAGAAGUUUAAACCUAUAGCCCAACCCCCCACUCUAUUUUGCUUAAUUUGUAACGGUUAUACUUUUGCCAACAGCAAAAGGAUCCUGAGAAGAAAGGCAGAAGGUUUGGUUUAGAGGACCUAUAUAAGGAUUAGCCUGAAUUCCCACUCAACACUGGAUUUUGUGAAGUAGGAAAAUUCCAUUUUUAUUUUUUUAUUUUUUUUAAAAAAAACUAUUUUGGAAUUCAAAUGUGAUUUGGCUGGGAUCAGUCCUUUUCGCAGGAAUGGGUCUAAAAUUUGAU
rnacentral:lncRNA from 1 species